GUCCACGCCCUAAACGAUGAAUACUCGAUGUUAGCGAUAUACAGUUAGCGUCAAAGCGAAAGCGUUAAGUAUUCCACCUGGGGAGUACGCCCGCAAGGGUGAAACUCAAAGGAAUUGACGGGGGCCCGCACAAGCGGAGGAGCAUGUGGUUUAAUUCGAUGAUACGCGAGGAACCUUACCCGGGCUUGAAAGUUACUGAAGUAUCCAGAGAUGGAUGCGUCCGCAAGGACAGGAAACUAGGUGCUGCAUGGCUGUCGU
rnacentral:rRNA from 1 species